AGCGUAAACGUUGCCUGAUUGUAACAAAUGUCAGGCAACGUUAAACAGCCGACCUCAACGUUGAAUGUACGUUGCCAGCUGUACGUUCAAGUGAUGUCAUAAAUAAAUGUCACAGCAACGUCCUGACACCCACGUUGUGUCAACGUUGCGUGUAAACAUCAAUUUAACGUGUAAAUGGUAUCAAUGUAGCAACGUUACAAAACAGCACGUUCCCAGAACGUUGCCGGAUGUCACCAAUAUUGACAUUAAUGUGAUGCCAGGCUGCUGUGGCAUUUCGCAUGUAUACGUUCAUGCAACUAUAAGAUAUUGUAAUUUUCAACUGAACAUUCAUCUUUAUCAUACAGUGAGGUAUGGAGAUGUAUAGUGAUUAUGCAGUAAUUAAUAUCUUCUAAGGAACACCAUGUUAAAUUAUGUUUAUUAUGCUUCUCCACAGAUAAGAUCUGCUACAAAUUAUAUCAAAUGGCAGAAGCAUUCACAUGGAAAAAAUGCUAAUUGUUGCAACGGUUCACCUAUAGUAGACAAAGUUACGCAUAAAAGUAUUCCCUUCUUCCACACCAAAUGCACAAGACUUUGUGACUGCUUGCACGCCACAUGCCCCUAAAAGUGGAAACAUUAAGCAAGGGCCAUCAUGAAUAGGCACAAGCCCCAUGAUACGAGCUGCAUAAAAAUGACGAACACAUGCACACUGCACAGUGGAUACACACAGAUCAUAUCUACUUGUCCAUAUAAAAAACAGUGCAUUUUUUUCAGUUCAAGUAUAGUUUACAUCAUAGAAACGGCACUAGAGCAAAGGACUAUAAGCCACCAAUAGGGCUGCAAACACACCGUACACCAGCGCACAUUUGUUUCACACACCACACAGGACACAUGCACGCAGCAGACAUGUUUUUUUUAGGAGGAAUCUUCGCGAGCCGCACGAUAAACACAGAAGGUACGGACGACAGGAGUAAAACCCGCGCACAUUCAACACACCGACACGAAAGGAAAUGCGGACGAUACGGGUGUAACCUGCGCCACACGAGCUAUCAACCCUCGUGGAUUUGAUCCUUUCCACCUGAAACAGUUACAACGCACACGAAAACAUCGAACACUGCACAUCUGUACCUCCGAUAUCGUGUCAACAAUUCCUGAGGCAACAAUUCAUGUUCACGACAUCAGAAAGUUAUCUAAAACUAAGUGACGGCGUAGGAAAAGUAGGCAGCAUCGCUAAACGUCAUGGAUUGGCUUCGAGACAGCUUCGAGACAGCCCAAACCGUUCAAAUCAAGCCACAGCGACGGCUUGAUAAGGAUAACCAAAGCUGAUCUCGAAGGCCAUGCUUAUGCUGGCUGCAGAUGGCGGAAGCAAUUCAAAGGUAAAAUACGUUUUAGAAUUUCUUUCUACGCCAAACUAUAGUGUAAAAUAUAGAUUGUUCUACAGUUAUUUUGUCUCGCAACAUCUAUACGUAGUUGUGUGUAACCCGGCACAAAAUUUUAGUAUGCGAGUGUACUGGUUAAUAUUUUUCUCAUCACAGAGGCCACAACAUUCUCACAAGUAUGCAGGUGGCGCUAUUGUUUUUCCUCCGUGUUCUGUGAUGGCGGUCGUAUGUGCGGGCUGCUACGAGCGUCGCGUUUGCUUGAUCGUGUUUUUGUGUUUGCUGUUAUGAAGUAGGUCGCAGUUAGCGUGCACAGAAGUGCCUGAAGAUACCUUGUGUCACGCUGCAAACUCGCCGUAUGCGUGGCGCGCGAGGCAAAUGUGGCCCAACGAUUUUAUGCCGUGGAGUGCGGUUUCUUUGUUCUCGUUCUGGAAAGUUGGGUGGACGUCGCAAAGAAUGUGUGUUAGCGCGCCUCAGCUCGUCCACUACGCAGCGGCAUGUAUGCGGGGAGUAACAUCGUCGACGCAACACCGGCAACUUGGAGAGUGCUUCGCGACCGCGUCGUACCAUUCAAACGUGGCGAGGCUGUGACCCAUAACAGUGCCUACAUAACGGAGGAGCCACCAGACCCCUUGGCUAUGCCUGCCGUAGUGCAACGUAUAAUCUGGAUGGUCGGGUCAGGUACACCUAGGAAAUGUAUACAUUGGCAACGAUAACUGGGGCCUGCUCCAGUGCCAUCGCCGGGAUUCCCUGUUCUGCAAAAAACUCGCAUAACUGAUGUGGGGAGCCCUGGCGCUCGGUGUAGGAGUAUCACAGGGGCUCCUUGUCGGUGCUUGAAGGACGGCAAUGCUGUUGUGAAGCCGACAUUGAGCCCCGAUAAAUUGGAAGCUGUGGGUAGUUACCGCAUUAUUGACUUGGAAACCAGUGAGGUCUGGAUGCAAGUGAAGCUACCGAGGGAGGCAUGUGUGCAUCACUUGUGCUGCUGGCCAUCCUCUGCAAAAGUGAUGGCUGGCAGUCAGUGCUUGGAUGACUUUCUGUUACUCUACGCCUUGGGCUGUGUUGACUACUUCACACUUGCUGCCAUGUCUGCAAGCUUAGGCAAAAAGACCGGCUGGAUGCUUGGCAGGAGAUAGUAUCCAACCGCAGUGUUACUGUGUUGUGUUGUACAUUACAAAGUGAUGGAGGACAGUAUUUGUGCUGUUAUUAAGAAGUAUAAAUUGUGUUCUGCCAUUGAAAUAAGGGAACUCGACACAAAGCAAAAGAUUUCGAAGUCUGACCUACAUGGGAAAGCAAAAUAUAUUGUGUUGUAGUUGUAGCUGUUAGUAGAGUCUUAAUAUGCGAUAGAAGACCUUGAUGUUUCAUAGAAAAUAUAUUUAAGUGUGUUAUCAGUGUUUAAGUUACUGUUAUGUGUCAUUUGUUUGCCAGGAUGAUGUAAGCAGACAGUAAAUAAAUGCAUGGUUUGAGAUUAUAACCAGGUUUGUCUAUGGCAUUCACUAUUAUUUAAGGUGGACCAAUGCAUAUUCAUGGGUGCAUAUUCAACCACCACAUUCCUCCUGCACAAACAAUUCCUACAUACUAGCGUUUGGUCUUAGCAGCUGAUGUUGGCUAUUAUACAAUUUCUUGAAAGCACAUGCAGCUACCGACACAUGAUUUUUAGAGCAGUAAGUCGGAAGCAAAGACUGAUUUUUUCUGUGGUCUAAGCUUAAAUGAUAUGUUUAAGGAAAUGAACAUUUGUGGAAUAUAUUUACUUUCCUGCUGCGAGAACCUUUAUACGAGAACCUCUGCACAUUGGACGUGCAUGCUGCUUCUCUUGCUGUUAUAGCCAAAAUGAAAAAUUGUUCUUAUGAACCACUUCGCAGCUUUGCAUUGUGCACUUUUACUUGCAGUUAGCAUUUAUAUGCUGUGCUAUGGACAACAGCAAGACAAGUCAGGCAAACCACCAUGUGAAACACUUUAAAGAUUCUGGCUUAGGGCGCGUUGGUACUAUAUAUAGUGCAAGACAGAUGAGCUGCCCGUACAGCAGCGCUGUCAGCAUUACACGGCUGACAGCACCGCAAACCCUUAAAUUUAUAUUUGUUUGACAGAUAAUGCAUUCUAGUAGGUUUCAUGUCGUAUAUGCAUGAAAAUGUAAACAAGAACUGGUGAAAACAGCAUUAUUUUACGUGUAUAGUGUACCUUACCACAAGGUAAAGUACACAGAUAUCUUGGUAAACUACACAAGAUAUAUACGUAAUAAACGCUGUUUUUCACUAAUUCUUGUUUCACAUUUUCAUGCAUAUGCAACAUGAAAACUACUAGAGUAAAUAAUCUGUCAAGCAAAUAUAAAUUUAAGGGUUUGCGGUGCUGUCAGCCGUGUCAUGCUGACAGCACUGCUGUUAUGCAUGUCUACAAAUAUUCUGCAAUGUCAGUUGAGUGUUGCUUGAACGUCACAUACGUACGUUGCCUGAAAGCUCAAGUGACAAAGGCAACAUCUA